AGGAUUAGAUACGGUGGUAGUACACACGGUAAACGAUGAAUACUCGCUGUAGGCGAUAUACAGUCUGCGGCCAAGCGAAAGCAUUAAGUAUUACACUUGGGGAGUACGCCGGCAACGGUGAAACUCAAAGGAAUUGACGGGGGGCCGCACAAGCGGAGGAACAUGUGGUUUAAUUCGAUGAUAUGCGAGGAACUUUAUCCGGGGAUAAAUUGCAACCGAGUACGGCGGAUAUGCUAUAGGUUGCAAUAGCGGUUGUGAAGGUGAUGCAUGGUUGUCGUCAGUUCGUGCCGUGAGGUGUCGGCUUAAGUGCCAUAACGAGCGCAACCGUUGCCGAUAGUUACUAACAGGUCAUGGUGAGGACUCUGUCGGGACUGCCAUGGUAAGAUGUGAGGAAGGUGGGGAUGACGUCAAAUCAGCACGGCCCUUACGUCCGGGGCUACACAAGUGUUACAAUGGGGGGUACAGAGGGAAUGCUAUCACGCAAGUGGAUGCCAAUCCCAAAAACCUCUGUCAGUUAGGAUUGAAGUGUGCAACCCGACUUCAUGAAGCGGGAUUCGCUAGUAAUCGCGCAUCAGCCACGGCGCGGUGAAUACGUUCCCGGGCCUUGUACACACCGCCCGUCAAUCCAUGGGAGCCGGGGGUACCUGAAGUGCGUAGCCGCAAGGAGCGCCCUAGGGUAA
rnacentral:rRNA from 1 species